GGGGUUGUGGCUCAGUGGCAGAGCGCUUGCCUCGCAUGUAUGAGGCACUGGGUUCGAUCCUCAGCACCA
rnacentral:tRNA from 1 species